UGGGGAAUUNUUNGNGACAAUGGGCGCAAGCCUGAUCCAGCCAUGCCGCGUGUCUGAAGAAGGCCUUCGGGUUGUAAAGGACUUUUGUCAGGGAAGAAAAGGCUGUUGCUAAUAUCGACAGCUGAUGACGGUACCUGAAGAAUAAGCACCGGCUAACUACGUGCCAGCAGCCGCGGUAAUACGUAGGGUGCGAGCGUUAAUCGGAAUUACUGGGCGUAAAGCGAGCGCAGACGGUUACUUAAGCAGGAUGUGAAAUCCCCGGGCUCAACCUGGGAACUGCGUUCUGAACUGGGUGACUAGAGUGUGUCAGAGGGAGGUAGAAUUCCACGUGUAGCAGUGAAAUGCGUAGAGAUGUGGAGGAAUACCGNUGGCGAAGGCAGCCUCCUGGGAUAACACUGACGUUCAUGCUCGAAAGCGUGGGUAGCAAACAGGAUUAGAUACCCUGGUAGUCCACGCCCUAAACGAUGUCAAUUAGCUGUUGGGCAACUUGAUUGCUUAGUAGCGUAGCUAACGCGUGAAAUUGACCGCCUGGGGAGUACGGUCGCAAGAUUAA
rnacentral:rRNA from 1 species